GGGUUGUGAGGUUAAGCGACUAAGCGUACACGGUGGAUGCCCUGGCAGUCAGAGGCGAUGAAGGACGUGCUAAUCUGCGAUAAGCGUCGGUAAGGUGAUAUGAACCGUUAUAUCUAAGUACCCCGAGGAAAAGAAAUCAACCGAGAUUCCCCCAGUAGCGGCGAGCGAACGGGGAGGAGCCCAGAGCCUGAAUCAGUGUGUGUGUUAGUGGAAGCGUCUGGAAAGGCGCGCGAUACAGGGUGACAGCCCCGUACACAAAAAUGCACAUAYUGUGAGCUCGAUGAGUAGGGCGGGACACGUGGUAUCCUGUCUGAAUAUGGGGGGACCAUCCUCCAAGGCUAAAUACUCCUGACUGACCGAUAGUGAACCAGUACCGUGAGGGAAAGGCGAAAAGAACCCCGGCGAGGGGAGUGAAAAAGAACCUGAAACCGUGUACGUACAAGCAGUGGGAGCCUCUUUUAUGGGGUGACUGCGUACCUUUUGUAUAAUGGGUCAGCGACUUAUAUUCUGUAGCAAGGUUAACCGAAUAGGGGAGCCGAAGGGAAACCGAGUCUUAACUGGGCGUUAAGUUGCAGGGUAUAGACCCGAAACCCGGUGAUCUAGCCAUGGGCAGGUUGAAGGUUGGGUAACACUAACUGGAGGACCGAACCGACUAAUGUUGAAAAAUUAGCGGAUGACUUGUGGCUGGGGGUGAAAGGCCAAUCAAACCGGGAGAUAGCUGGUUCUCCCCGAAAGCUAUUUAGGUAGCGCCUCGUGAAYUCAUCUCCGGGGGUAGAGCACUGUUUCGGCAAGGGGGUCAUCCCGACUUACCAACCCGAUGCAAACUGCGAAUACCGGAGAAUGUUAUCACGGGAGACACACGGCGGGUGCUAACGUCCGUCGUGAAGAGGGAAACAACCCAGACCGCCAGCUAAGGUCCCAAAGUCAUGGUUAAGUGGGAAACGAUGUGGGAAGGCCCAGACAGCCAGGAUGUUGGCUUAGAAGCAGCCAUCAUUUAAAGAAAGCGUAAUAGCUCACUGGUCGAGUCGGCCUGCGCGGAAGAUGUAACGGGGCUAAACCAUGCACCGAAGCUGCGGCAGCGACACUAUGUGUUGUUGGGUAGGGGAGCGUUCUGUAAGCCUGUGAAGGUGURCUGUGAGGYAUGCUGGAGGUAUCAGAAGUGCGAAUGCUGACAUAAGUAACGAUAAAGCGGGUGAAAAGCCCGCUCGCCGGAAGACCAAGGGUUCCUGUCCAACGUUAAUCGGGGCAGGGUGAGUCGACCCCUAAGGCGAGGCCGAAAGGCGUAGUCGAUGGGAAACAGGUUAAUAUUCCUGUACUUGGUGUUACUGCGAAGGGGGGACGGAGAAGGCUAUGUUGGCCGGGCGACGGUUGUCCCGGUUUAAGCGUGUAGGCUGGUUUUCCAGGCAAAUCCGGAAAAUCAAGGCUGAGGCGUGAUGACGAGGCACUACGGUGCUGAAGCAACAAAUGCCCUGCUUCCAGGAAAAGCCUCUAAGCAUCAGGUAACAUCAAAUCGUACCCCAAACCGACACAGGUGGUCAGGUAGAGAAUACCAAGGCGCUUGAGAGAACUCGGGUGAAGGAACUAGGCAAAAUGGUGCCGUAACUUCGGGAGAAGGCACGCUGAUAUGUAGGUGAAGUCCCUCGCGGAUGGAGCUGAAAUCAGUCGAAGAUACCAGCUGGCUGCAACUGUUUAUUAAAAACACAGCACUGUGCAAACACGAAAGUGGACGUAUACGGUGUGACGCCUGCCCGGUGCCGGAAGGUUAAUUGAUGGGGUYAGCGCAAGCGAAGCUCUUGAUCGAAGCCCCGGUAAACGGCGGCCGUAACUAUAACGGUCCUAAGGUAGCGAAAUUCCUUGUCGGGUAAGUUCCGACCUGCACGAAUGGCGUAAUGAUGGCCAGGCUGUCUCCACCCGAGACUCAGUGAAAUUGAACUCGCUGUGAAGAUGCAGUGUACCCGCGGCAAGACGGAAAGACCCCGUGAACCUUUACUAUAGCUUGACACUGAACAUUGAGCCUUGAUGUGUAGGAUAGGUGGGAGGCUUWGAAGUGUGGACGCCAGUCUGCAUGGAGCCGACCUUGAAAUACCACCCUUUAAUGUUUGAUGUUCUAACGUUGACCCGUGAUCCGGGUUGCGGACAGUGUCUGGUGGGUAGUUUGACUGGGGCGGUCUCCUCCUAAAGAGUAACGGAGGAGCACGAAGGUUGGCUAAUCCUGGUCGGACAUCAGGAGGUUAGUGCAAUGGCAUAAGCCAGCUUGACUGCGAGCGUGACGGCGCGAGCAGGUGCGAAAGCAGGUCAUAGUGAUCCGGUGGUUCUGAAUGGAAGGGCCAUCGCUCAACGGAUAAAAGGUACUCCGGGGAUAACAGGCUGAUACCGCCCAAGAGUUCAUAUCGACGGCGGUGUUUGGCACCUCGAUGUCGGCUCAUCACAUCCUGGGGCUGAAGUAGGUCCCAAGGGUAUGGCUGUUCGCCAUUUAAAGUGGUACGCGAGCUGGGUUUAGAACGUCGUGAGACAGUUCGGUCCCUAUCUGCCGUGGGCGCUGGAGAAYUGAGGGGGGCUGCUCCUAGUACGAGAGGACCGGAGUGGACGCAUCACUGGUGUUCGGGUUGUCAUGCCAAUGGCACUGCCCGGUAGCUAAAUGCGGAAGAGAUAAGUGCUGAAAGCAUCUAAGCACGAAACUUGCCCCGAGAUGAGUUCUCCCUGACYCYUURAGRGUCCUGAAGGAACGUUGAAGACGACGACGUUGAUAGGCCGGGUGUGUAAGCGCAGCGAUGCGUUGAGCUAACCGGUACUAAUGAACCGUGAGGCUUAACCUUACAACGCCGAAGCUGUU
rnacentral:rRNA from 1 species